GACGUAGGGCGCGAGCGUUGUCCGGAUUUAUUGGGCGUAAAGAGCUCGUAGGCGGCUUGUCGCGUCGAAUGUGAAAACUCGGGGCUCAACUCCGAGCUUGCAUUCGAUACGGGCAGGCUAGAGUUCGGUAGGGGAGACUGGAAUUCCUGGUGUAGCGGUGAAAUGCGCAGAUAUCAGGAGGAACACCAAUAACGGCGAAGGCAGUUAACUAUUCUGUUACUGACAUUGAGGCACGAAAGCGUGGGGAGCAAAACGG
rnacentral:rRNA from 1 species